rnacentral:rRNA from 1 species
UACGUAGGCAGCAAGCGUUGUUCGGAGUUACUGGGCGUAAAGGGUGUGCAGGCGGUCUUCUAAGUUUGGUGUGAAAUCUCCCGGCUCAACUGGGAGGGUGCGCCGAAAACUGGAAGGCUAGAGUGCGGGAUGGGAGAGUGGAAUUCCUGGUGUAGCGGUGAAAUGCGUAGAUAUCAGGAGGAACACCUGUGGUGUAGACGGCUCUCUGGACCGCAACUGACGCUGAGACACGAAAGCGUGGGUAGCAAACAGG